rnacentral:rRNA from 1 species
CAGCAGCCACGGUAAUACGUAGGGUGCAAGCGUUAAUCGGAAUUACUGGGCGUAAAGCGUGCGCAGGCGGUUAUAUGAGUCAGAUGUGAAAUCCCCGGGCUCAACCUGGGAACUGCAUUUGAGACUGUAUGGCUAGAGUGUGUCAGAGGGGGGUAGAAUUCCACGUGUAGCAGUGAAAUGCGUAGAUAUGUGGAGGAAUACCGAUGGCGAAGGCAGCCCCCUGGGAUAACACUGACGCUCAUGCACGAAAGCGUGGGUAGCAAACAGGAUUAGAUACCCCGGUAGUCCCUGUCUCUUAUAC